AAAGUUAUGGCCUUUCAAAGUUUUCGAAGCUAAAAUACAUAAACUGUUGAUGAAUUACUAAUUCAAAACUCAUCGUUUCAAUUGUUCCCACCACGCACCGUUUCAAUUGAUUUUACAGAUCCCGCCUCUAAUCCUCCCAAAAUUUGACAUUCCUCCAACUCUACACAAUGAUUCAAAAUGUUUUCCUUUUUCUUUUAUUUUUCAUUCUUUUCUGUUUGUCAAUUUCCUUUGUAGGAUUUUAUGUUACGUUAUUUCUGCUAUUUCAUUCCUUUAAGCUGUUUCUAUAUGAGAUUUUCUUAAGAUUCAUAAGUGUUUCUAUACGUAAAGUCAGUGGCUUGCCCUUUUCCCAAGUUUUCCCCCAAAAUAAAACUCUUGCUCUAUUGCUCUUGCUCCACCGUCCGAAAGCGCUUGAGGUUUUAUACAUGGUGUUCUUGCUGAAGCUGUUCAAUGAUAAUUUUUGGAGGGUUGGUUUUUAAUUUAUCUAUGUGAAGGAGCACUGAGCAUUUAUAUACUCUACUUGUGAAACCUUGAUGGAGAUAUUGAUUUGAAAGGAUAUAUGAUAUAUUCCAGUAGAAAUGUUUGUAGAAAAUUAUAAUAUUUUGGGACACUGUAUUAAUGCUGAAUUUAUAAAUAGAAGAUAACAAUAGAAGCAAUAGAUAUAUAUAUAUAUAUAAAGGGGCUUUGAACAUGUGGAGAUGAGAGGCAGCUAAGAGAGCAUGGUGUUAUCAUUUCUCUCCUUAGACCUUUGCUGAAAGUCUUGGGAUUGAAGGCAGGGAUCUUAAUCAUGGCUUUGAGGAAGUAUUAAUCAUCUGCCUGUAAUUGCAGUGAGUGCAAUAAAGCUUUAUUUAUAUAUAUAUAAAUAAAAGUGAGGGGGAGUGAGUUUCUUUUAAGCAAAAUCUUGUAUUGAGGGAUAGCUGCAAAAAAAGUUUGGAUGAAAAGAAGAAUAAAUAAUUAAAGUCAAGAGAGAGGGUGGGGGAUUGUUGAAGUUCCUCUCUCUCUCUUUCUUUAUUUCUUUUAAAGAUGGAAACUUGAAAUAGUAAAGAGGAAAAAAAAACUGAGAAAAGUUGCUUAGAUAAAAGCAAAGGAGGUGGUGUGUGUAUAUGUGGGUGUCACCAGCUUCUUGGGUCUUCUUCUUCUUUACUUAUCUCACCUUGUUAUGGAGUUUCAAGCACUCAUUCUUGGACCCCAACUACUGCUUUGUAAGUUAAACCUUUCUCUUUCUCUCUCUGGUUAAGCUUUCUACAUAUAUGUUUGUCUCUUCAUACUUCACAGGCCAUUAUGAAUUUACUUUAACUCCGAAAUCUAUCGCCCUUUUUUCUUUUUUUUUCUGAUUUGAUGUGCAUCAAUCACAAUUAUGUUGUUUUAAAUUUUACUUAUUUAUCAUUUGUUUGUUUUUUCAGGAGAAUAUUUUCUUUUUAUUGCAUUGUUUUUGGAUUCCUAAAACUUGUCGGUUCACCAAGUACAGUGUAUCAAAUACUGCUCUCUCUCACUAAUUGCUUCCCUUCCAUUGUGUUAAAAGUAUAUAAAUGCUCAGUGCUCCUAGUCAUCAAAAUAUGGAGGAAAAUUUGGCAAGAUAUAUCAGCAAUAUCUUACAAGAUAACCAGCAGAACUCUGAGGUUCUAGUACAGGAUGUUCAAUAUAUUCGUGCACAGUUGCUGCCAAGUUUGAAAGAUGCCCAGAGGUUAAAAUAGUGAAAUGCACUGUGAAUGACAUACCGGUUGACAUCUCUUUCAAUCGAACGGCUGGUCUAUCUGCACUUUGCUUUCUGGAGAAGGCCUGGUGCUAUUACGAGAGCCGGAUCCUUGGUGCACACCAUGGCUUGAUUUCUACAUAUGCAUUAGAAACAAUGAUUUUAUAUAUCAUUAAUGUCUUUCAUUCAUCCUUAUUUUGUUCUAUUUUUAUUUUGUUAGAUUUCUGGUGUAGUAUGAUAAGUGCGGUAUUUUGUUUGGCGGGA